rnacentral:rRNA from 1 species
GAUGAACGCUGGCGGCGUGCCUAAUACAUGCAAGUCGAGCGAACAGACGAGUAGCUUGCUCCUCUGACGUUAGCGGCGGACGGGUGAGUAACACGUGGAUAACCUACCUAUAAGACUGGGAUAACUUCGGGAAACCGGAGCUAAUACCGGAUAAUAUAUUGAACCGCAUGGUUCAAUAGUGAAAGACGGGUUUGCUGUCACUUAUCGAUGGAUCCGCGCCGCAUUAGCUAGUUGGGAAGGUAACGGCUUACCAAGGCGACGAUGCGUAGCCGACCUGAGAGGGUGGUCGGCCACACUGGAGCGGAGACACGGUCAAGAGUACUACGGGAGGCAGCAGUAGGGAAUCGGACGCAAUGGGCGGAAGCCUGACGGAGCAACGCCGCGUGAGUGAUGAAGGUCUUCGGAUCGUAAAACUCUGUUAUUAGGGAAGAACAAAUGUGUAAGUAACUAUGCACGUCUUGACGGUACCUAAUCAGAAAGCCACGGCUAACUACGUG